rnacentral:rRNA from 1 species
GACGAACGCUGGCGGCGUGCCUAAUACAUGCAAGUAGAACGCUGAAGAGAGGAGCUUGCUCUUCUUGGAUGAGUUGCGAACGGGUGAGUAACGCGUAGGUAACCUGCCUUGUAGCGGGGGGUAACUAUUGGGAACGAUAGCUAAUACCGCAUAACAAUGGAUGAAACAUGUCAUUUAUUUGAAAGGGGCAAUUGCUCCACUACAAGAUGGACCUGCGUUGUAUUAGCUAGUAGGUGAGGCAAUGGCUCACCUAGGCGACGAUACAUAGCCGACCUGCGAGAGUGCUCGGCCACACUGGGACUGUGAGACGGCCCAGAGUCCCACGGGAGGGAGCAGUAGGGAAUCUUCGGCAAUGGGGGCAAACCUGACAGAGCAACGCCGCGUGAGUGAAGAAGGUGUUCGGAUCGUAAAGAGCUGUUGUAAGUCAAGAGCGGGUGUGAGAGUGGAAAGUUCACACUGUGACGGUAACUGACCAGAAAGGGACGGCUAACUAAGUG